rnacentral:lncRNA from 1 species
UUUAUUCCUAAAUUUUAUUUUCAAUGUCAUGUGUUAUUUUUAAUUUGCUGUUUGUUUUAUUUUGUUUUAUGGUGUUUUACUUGAUUUAACUUUAAGCUUGCACUGAUAAUUUUAAUGCAUUAAUGGAAGCACCUAGCUCAUUUAUCUUGCUUUACUGUUAGGGUUUUCUUUUUAAGUGUUGAUUCAGUGAUGAAUAGCAUUUUAUUUCUUUAGCUUAAGUGUUGUGUUAGCAUAACAUGCAAAAUGUUUCUUUAUUAUCUGUUGCAUUUUAAUUAGUUCACACACACUGUUAAUUUUACUGUUUUGGUUUACUUUAAUCUUUUUAAUUAUGUUCGGUUUAAUUUCCUUUUUUAAUUUAGUUUAAUUUUCCUUGCAAAAACACUUUCAAACCCCCCACUACGUGUUAGACCUUAUUCUGAACCGCAAAAUUGGUCCUUGAGAGACGACCUAGGAUUCAUUUCCUAGCUAUACUGCAUUUCUCAUAUGCAAUCAAAUUUGUAUGGGCCGCGACACCCAUCAAAAUUUUGGCGCCGUUGCCGGGGACCAACGGUUCGGUUUUAGGUCUUUUGUUGUGUUCGUGUGUGUUGUGUUUUGUCUUGUGUUGUGAGUGUGUUGUUCUAUUUUGUGUGUUCGUCAUUGUGUGUUGCAUUCAGGUAGCUUAGGUUGCAUAUUUUCAGUGCAUUCUUCUUUUCCCCCUUCUUUCCCAUGUCUACCUGUUUUGGCUAUGUGGAUACUGUUUCUUCUGCCUGUGC